rnacentral:rRNA from 1 species
UGCAUGAGUGGCGGACGGGUGAGUAACGCGUGGGCAACCUGGCCUGUACAGGGGGAUAACACUUAGAAAUAGGUGCUAAUACCGCAUAACGGGGGAAGCCGCAUGGCUUUUCCCUGAAAACUCCGGUGGUACAGGAUGGGCCCGCGUCUGAUUAGCCAGUUGGCAGGGUAACGGCCUACCAAAGCGACGAUCAGUAGCCGGCCUGAGAGGGCGGACGGCCACAUUGGGACUGAGACACGGCCCAAACUCCUACGGAAGGCAGCAG